rnacentral:rRNA from 1 species
UACGAAGGGGCUAGCGUUGCUCGGAAUCACUGGGCGUAAAGCGCACGUAGGCGGAUUGCUAAGUCAGGGGUGAAGUCCUGGAGCUCAACUCCAGAACUGCCUUUGAUACUGGCGAUCUCGAGUUCGGGAGAGGUGAGUGGAACUGCGAGUGUAGAGGUGAAAUUCGUAGAUAUUCGCAAGAACACCAGUGGCGAAGGCGGCUCACUGGCCCGGUACUGACGCUGAGGUGCGAAAGCGUGGGGAGCAAC